CUACGGGGUGCUGCAGUGGGGAAUAUUGGACAAUGGGCGCAAGCCUGAUCCAGCAAUACCGCGUGUGUGAAGAAGGCCUGCGGGUUGUAAAGCACUUUCAAUUGUGAAGAAAAGCCUGGGGUUAAUACCCUCGGGUCUUGACGUUAACUUUAGAAGAAGCACCGGCUAACUCCGUGCCAGCAGCCGCGGUAAUACGGAGGGUGCGAGCGUUAAUCGGAAUUACUGGGCGUAAAGCGUGCGUAGGCGGCUAGGUCAGUCAGAUGUGAAAGCCCCGGGCUUAACCUGGGAACUGCAUUUGAUACUGGCUGGCUAGAGUAUGGUAGAGGGAAGUGGAAUUCCGGGUGUAGCGGUGAAAUGCGUAGAUAUCCGGAGGAACACCAGUGGCGAAGGCGACUUCCUGGACCAAUACUGACGCUGAGGUACGAAAGCGUGGGUAGCAAACAGGAUUAGAUACCCCUGUAGUC
rnacentral:rRNA from 1 species